ensembl:ncRNA C24G6.11 ncRNA
GAUUCGAGAACAUGCGCGCGCAUUGCGAUGUGACCGACCGGUUCGAUGUUUCCUAACACUGAGUCUUUCGCUCUCUUAUAGGUUCUCGCUCUUUUUGCCAUUGCGCACAAAUCGAUUCUUCAUUUUUA